rnacentral:rRNA from 1 species
UGGACGAAAGUCUGACGGAGCAACGCCGCGUGAGUGAAGAAGGUUUUCGGAUCGUAAAGCUCUGUUGUAAGAGAAGAACGAGUGUGAGAGUGGAAAGUUCACACUGUGACGGUAUCUUACCAGAAAGGGACGGCUAACUACGUGCCAGCAGCCGCGGUAAUACGUAGGUCCCGAGCGUUGUCCGGAUUUAUUGGGCGUAAAGCGAGCGCAGGCGGUU